UACGGAGGGGGCAAACGUUGUUCGGAAUCACUGGGCGUAAAGGGUGCGUAGGCGGUUCAGUAAGUCUUGUGUGAAAUCUCUCCGCUCACCGGAGAAACUGCACUGGAAACUGCUGGGCUCGAGAGUGGAAGAGGCAGGUGGAAUUCCAGGUGUAGCGGUGGAAUGCGUAGAUAUCUGGAAGAACACUCGUGGCGAAGGCGGCCUGCUGGUCCAUUUCUGACGCUGAGGCACGAAAGCCAGGGGAGCAAACGGG
rnacentral:rRNA from 1 species